GAUGAACGCUGGCGGCGUGCCUAAUACAUGCAAGUCGAGCGAACGGACGAGAAGCUUGCUUUUCUGAUGUUAGCGGCGGACGGGUGAGUAACACGUGGAUAACCUACCUAUAAGACUGGGAUAACUUCGGGAAACCGGAGCUAAUACCGGAUAAUAUUUUGAACCGCAUGGUUCAAAAGUGAAAGACGGUCUUGCUGUCACUUAUAGAUGGAUCCGCGCUGCAUUAGCUAGUUGGUAAGGUAACGGCUUACCAAGGCAACGAUGCAUAGCCGACCUGAGAGGGGGAUCGGCCACACUGGAACUGAGACACGGUCCAGACGCCUACGGGAGGCAGCAGUAGGGAAUCUUCCGCAAUGGGCGAAAGCCUGACGGAGCAACGCCGCGUGAGUGAUGAAGGUCUUCGGAUCGUAAAACUCUGUUAUUAGGGAAGAACAUAUGUGUAAGUAACUGUGCACAUCUUGACGGUACCUAAUCAGAAAGCCACGGCUAACUACGU
rnacentral:rRNA from 1 species